AUGGUAGAGAGGAUAAUCGCUUUUUAAUUUUUAAAAAGAGGAAAGUCUGGACACUAUGUAGGAACGAUGACGGCGAGAGGCCGUCGCCAGUAAUGGUAGGGACAGUAUCGCAGAAAAUAACCGCCUGCAAAGGUAAGGGUGAAAAAGUGGCGUAAGAGACCACUACAAUGUAUUUAAUUUACAUUGUGGAUAAACCCCAUCGGGUGAAAUACCAAAUGUUGUCGUUUAUAGAAAUAUAAAAUGUCCUACACAUAGACAAAGGUAGGUAGAUAGAGAUUAUAGGCAACUGUAAUAGUAGAUUAAUGAUUAUCAUAACAGAAUCCAGUGUACGUUUCUACCAUAUAU
rnacentral:RNase_P_RNA from 1 species